CCUUCCAAUCGACGCUAUACACACAAUUCCUCACCGUUUCAUUCUUCCAAUCAAAGUCUUCCAACAUCCAUUUACGUUUCUUCUACUACACAUUUGGUGUUCCGCCCAAAUUCAUAUUCUCCAAUAAUUAUCAUCAAUGAUAAUCCUUCAUCCAUUUUUCUUUUCGCCAAGUUGUGCUUCUAACUCUCAUCUUCAUUCGUCUUCAGUGUGAAUCCCAUUCUUUUCCCUGCAUCUAGUCUUCUGAUUCCUUACUUCCUAGUCCUCGAAUAAACGUCAAGUCGUCGAUUUUCACAUCGACGGUGUCAGGAUUGAUCUUCAGAUGCAGCUUGAACUGCCAUUGUCAUGGAAUACCAUAUGUAUUUUGCUCUCUUUUCGAUUGAAGCUUCACAUUCUCCUUUAAUCAAUUUAUUCAUUGCCUCUUUGGCUUCGAAAUUUAAACCUUAAUUUUGUUUUCCCCCAAUUUCCCUUUAUUCAUCUUCAAUUUGAUUGUUUUGGAAUUAACAUCAUAUCGUGUAUAUGGUCUUCUCUCAUAAUGAUGUGGCUUGAAGCUUGAUUGGGGCAUGGCUUCCGAAAUGAUCUUCUAAGAUGGUUGCAGAUAUGAAGCCAACAUUUAUCAGAAUUCCGGGUAUUUCGAUCGAAAAUGGAGGCAUGUUGAUUUUGCUUUCACAGGAAACCCUAUGCGUCGAUUGAGCAGUAAAUAGGUUUAAUUGCACCGAGAGAUGAAAUUGAGGAGAAAGCAAGAGUGGCAGUAUUUGUCGCAGAUGAGGGCGGCAGAUAUGGGGAUUGAAGAUGAAGGGAGGUUGUUGAUAUUAGGGAUGGUGAUGUUGGGAUUUUUGUCGAUGUUUUUUAGCCAUUUUCCAUUGUAUAGAAUUGAGAAGCAUUUGCUCAUCCCUCGCCAUCCUAUGGAUAGCAGUGACCAGUAUCGUCUUCACAAAAUCGAACCUAUUGGGCGUUUGAUAAAUUCGUAUGUGAAUAAUCCAUUGAAAUUCUAUGCUCGAGACCAGAAGUCAAUAUAGAGAAUGCUUGAAGAACCUUUCCACUAUGUGAAGUUCUUGCAGCUUGAAAUUAAGGUUUUGAAGAGGAAAAGAAAGAAAACAUGGAGGGACGAUAGUAUAUUCUAGCAGAAUGUAUUCAUACAGAAUGCCAUUGACAUUAUGUUCUUAAAGAAUGGAGGCAUGUUAAUAUAAUUAUUGAAGCUGAUGCUUGAAGAACGGACCACGAAAUUUGAACGACGCCUCUUAGCAACAUUAUUCUUUUAGAAUGUAUUAGUGUCUUUGUUAGAUUUUGAUGUUUUUUUUUCAAGAUUUGAAAGUUUUUUUAGUUUUAUUUUUUUAACAAUAAAUGUAACUCUUAGAAAUUGUUACAUGUAUUCUAUAAGAAUUAAUGUAAUUUUUGUUUUAAUUAUUCAA